rnacentral:rRNA from 1 species
UACGUAGGGUGCGAGCGUUAAUCGGAAUUACUGGGCGUAAAGCGUGCGCAGGCGGCUCGUUAAGUCCGCUGUGAAAGCCCCGGGCUCAACCUGGGAAUUGCGGUUGAAACUGGCGAACUAGAAUCUGGCAGAGGGGGGUGGAAUUCCACGUGUAGCAGUGAAAUGCGUAGAGAUGUGGAGGAACACCGAUGGCGAAGGCAGCCCCCUGGGCUGAGAUUGACGCUCAGGCACGAAAGCGUGGGGAGCAAACAGG